rfam:Salmo salar isolate Sally breed double haploid chromosome ssa14, whole genome shotgun sequence.
UGCGUUCACUACUGUAAGUCGCUCUGGAUAAGAGCGUCUGCUAAAAUGACUAAAA